CGGGGUGUAGCUCAGCCCGGUGGAGCGCUUGCUUUGGGAGCAAGAUGUCGGAGGUUCGAAUCCUCUCACCCCGACCA
rnacentral:tRNA from 1 species